GAUGAACGCUGGCGGCGUGCCUAAUACAUGCAAGUCGAGCGAACAGACGAGGAGCUUGCUCCUCUGACGUUAGCGGCGGACGGGUGAGUAACACGUGGAUAACCUACCUAUAAGACUGGGAUAACUUCGGGAAACCGGAGCUAAUACCGGAUAAUAUAUUGAACCGCAUGGUUCAAUAGUGAAAGACGGUUUUGCUGUCACUUAUAGAUGGAUCCGCGCCGCAUUAGCUAGUUGGUAAGGUAACGGCUUACCAAGGCAACGAUGCGUAGCCGACCUGAGAGGGGGAUCGGCCACACUGGAACUGAGACACGGUCCAGACUCCUACGGGAGGCAGCGGUAGGGAAUCUUCCGCAAUGGGCGAAAGCCUGACGGAGCAGCGCCGCGUGAGUGAUGAAGGUCUUCGGAUCGUAAAACUCUGUUAUUAGGGAAGAACAAAUGUGUAAGUAACUAUGCACGUCUUGACGGUACCUAAUCAGAAAGCCACGGCUAACUACGUG
rnacentral:rRNA from 1 species